CCCAUUUCAUAUUCCAAAGCUUGCAAAAUCAUCACAACUUUGUCAAAAUCUUUCACAAGGUUGGCCUCCAAGGAAGCAUUGUUUUCAUACUCUGCCCAUAAUUCUUUGAUCUCCACAGCUGCAAGAAUAAAUUAGUCAAUAACACACAAUUCAAAUAUGAAACUGAUCAGCAAUCUAAGAUUGCCAAGAUAACAAGGGCUAGCAAGUACCCCUCAUUCCUCCACCAAGAACUUCACACAUUUCAUUUAAGGCUGCUUGCUCCCGUCUGCUCUUUUCUUGUUUAGGCACACCAUCAGCUGGUGUUAUAUCUCCAACAAUAGCUUCUGCUAUAUCAUGCACAAUUGCAAUCUUUAUACACCUGUUCCAAUGAGGACAAAGACAUAACCUAAGCAACCCCAAUAAAAAGAAGGAAGCAGAAAACCAAAUAUCAAAUAUUAACACACCCAUUAUCUUUUGCCAUUUCCCAGUACAGAAUGAGAAACAGCAGGAUUACCAACUGAUUUAUACAUCCAUGUCCACAUAUUUUAGUAGUAAAUUAAAGCAGUUUCUUACUUGCAAAAAGCCUGUUAACAAAUCCAAAGAACACAAACAAAGCUCACCGAUGAGCUGAGAGAUAAAUAACUUCUAAAAAAUAAUAAUAGUUCACAGAAGAGGAGCCACCAACCCACAUUAUUAGGAUAAAUGUGUAUAUAAUGCCUUGUAUAUCAGUACUAAUUAAACACAGCCAAUUCUAUUUAUAUUUAUAAAUAAAGAAAUGAUAUAAAAGGGGAAGGGAGGAUGCCUAUAAUGAAAGUGAUAUAAAUAAUAAAGGCCUUGACAUCGUAUGACAAAGUCUAACCUUUCUCGGUUCACA
rnacentral:misc_RNA from 1 species